rnacentral:rRNA from 1 species
UACGAAGGUGGCGAAUGUUGCUCGGAUUCACUGGGCGUAAAGCGUCGGUAGGAGGUUGUUUAAGUCAGGUGUGAAAGCCCCGUGCUCAACAUGGGAAUUGCACUUGAAACUAGAUGACUUGAAGGUAUGAGAGGAUGGCGGAAUAACUGGUGUAGAGGUAAAAUUCAUAGAUAUCAGUUGGAACACCCAUGGCGAAGGCAGCUAUCUGGCAUAUUCUUGACUCUGAGCGACGACAGCGUGGGGAGCAAACAGG